rnacentral:rRNA from 1 species
AGUCGAACGGCAGCACGGAGCUUGCUCUGGUGGCGAGUGGCGAACGGGUGAGUAAUAUAUCGGAACGUACCCUAGAGUGGGGGAUAACGUAGCGAAAGUUACGCUAAUACCGCAUACGAUCUAAGGAUGAAAGUGGGGGAUCGCAAGACCUCAUGCUCGUGGAGCGGCCGAUAUCUGAUUAGCUAGUUGGUAGGGUAAAAGCCUACCAAGGCAUCGAUCAGUAGCUGGUCUGAGAGGACGACCAGCCACACUGGAACUGAGACACGGUCCAGACUCCUACGGGAGGCAGCAGUGGGGAAUUUUGGACAAUGGGCGAAAGCCUGAUCCAGCAAUGCCGCGUGAGUGAAGAAGGCCUUCGGGUUGUAAAGCUCUUUUGUCAGGGAAGAAACGGUGAGAGCUAAUAUCUCUUGCUAAUGACGGUACCUGAAGAAUAAGCACCGGCUAACUACGUGCCAGCAGCCGCGGUAAUACGUAGGGUGCAAGCGUUAAUCGGAAUUACUGGGCGUAAAGCGUGCGCAGGCGGUUUUGUAAGUCUGAUGUGAAAUCCCCGGGCUCAACCUGGGAAUUGCAUUGGAGACUGCAAGGCUAGAAUCUGGCAGAGGGGGGUAGAAUUCCACGUGUAGCAGUGAAAUGCGUAGAUAUGUGGAGGAACACCGAUGGCGAANGCAGCCCCCUGGGUCAAGAUUGACGCUCAUGCACGAAAGCGUGGGGAGCAAACAGGAUUAGAUACCCUGGUAGUCCACGCCCUAAACGAUGUCUACUAGUUGUCGGGUCUUAAUUGACUUGGUAACGCAGCUAACGCGUGAAGUAGACCGCCUGGGGAGUACGGUCGCAAGAUUAAAACUCAAAGGAAUUGACGGGGACCCGCACAAGCGGUGGAUGAUGUGGAUUAAUUCGAUGCAACGCGAAAAACCUUACCUACCCUUGACAUGGCUGGAAUCCNNGAGAGAUNNNGGAGUGCUC